GCAGGGAUAAUGCUCAGUCCAACCAUCGGUCGCAUUCGAGGCCCUGUGGCUGUCACGCUCUCGUAUCGUGCGGUGGCACAGCCCUCUUAGAGAGUGCCCGCUCUUCAGGAGGGGGAGGAAUCCAGAAGGCGGCAUCGCCAGGUGAGCAGGUGACACCAGCCCUCUCGUAGAUGCCCGAGAAGCACUGUCAACUGUACGGUAAGAAGGUAGUUUCCUUCAUGAGAGCCUUCGCUUUGCUGGCGAGACGGUCAAUCUUCCAAUGCCUCCAGCUCACGAAGCGUGACUCAUCCCCCCACUCUUCCAGGGCUUGGGCACACUCGGUCUAAACAUUGCUCCAUCUCCAUGGAUCAGGGAUUCGACACGAGCAAACUCGCUCAACCUAUCGCAUCACUAACAGAUCGAUAUGCUAUAGUUCCUCCCCCUCGUACCCUGUUCUGAGGCGAUGCAUCAAACGAACUGUUGCUGGCGUGCGAAGUGUGUUUCUGUCAUGCUCCAGAACUCUGUGGCGUUUCAAGGAGCUCUGUUUCACAGAAUGUUAUGUGGUGAGAAACUGGAGUUGGGCUACGGGUCGCACAGAUCUAACAUAAUCGGAUGAUUUGACGAUGUUUCAGCCUCUUCGGCUCACGCAACAUACCAUAAAUCAGAAGGAGAGGUGCAGGGC
rnacentral:lncRNA from 1 species